AAAAAGUUUUAUUCUAGCUUAAAAAUAUUAAGUAAUAGAUUAUUAUACAUGUAAUUAUAUAAAUUAAUAUUGUUAAUUCUAAAUGAGUAACAUUUUAAUACGCAGUAUAUAACAUUGUUAAUUUAAUAAUAUUUAAAAUAGUAAUUUACAUUAGAAAAGACAUAUUUUGUGCCAGCAGUCGCGGUUAUACAAAAUUUUCAAUUUAAUAUUUUAAGUUUUCAGUUAUUUAAUUUAUUUUAUUUAAUUAUUUAAAUUUUAGUGAAAUAUAUUUAUUAUUAGUUAAUUUUAUAUAUCUGAGAAACUAUUAAUAUAAACUAGGAUUAGAUACCCUAUUAUUAUAAAGUUUAAAAUUAUUAACUUGAUUAUUAUUAGAUAUGAUCUUUAAAUUCAAAGAAUUUGGCGGUAAUAUAUCUUUUCAGAGGAAUCUGUUUUGUAAUUGAUAAUCCACGAUAGAUUAUACUUUAUUUUAAUUUGUAUACCGCUGUCAAGAAUGUUCUUUCAGGAUUAAAUUUUCUUUAUUUUUAAUAAAAAUUAUGUCAAGUCAAGGUGCAGUUUAUUUUAAAGAAAAAAUGGAUUACUAUUAAUAGAUGUUUUGAAAUAUUUAAUAUUUUAAAUAUAAAAAAUUGGAUUUGAUAAUAAAUUAAUUAAAUUUAAUUGUUUGAAUUAAGCUCUAUAUUAUGUACACAUCGCCCGUCACUCUCAUUUAUAAGUUGAGAUAAGUCGUAACAAAGUAGUUGUACCGGAAGGUGUAGCUAGAAUGAU
rnacentral:ncRNA from 1 species